CAAAUCAAAUGGAUCCAUAGCAGAAGAUAAGAGUCGAGAUCGGAGAAGACUCAGAGAGAAGAGAAAGAGUGAGAGGGCAAAGAGAUGACAGUGAAGCUUAUCUAGUAUCUGGGAUAUCGAGCUAAGGUGCAGUAUUAUUGUCUCUCUGUAAAGGAAAGCUUUCUCUGAGGUACAGUAUGUGUGGAUUGUAAAAUUUGUGCUUCUUUCUUAGCUCGCUGUGAGGGUGUUGUUCCAGAAACCCUUUCUGGCUAUACAGGCACCGCACCACCACCACAAAAAUAUAGAACGAGG
rnacentral:misc_RNA from 1 species